CAAGCCAUCAACAAAAUUUAGCAGCCCGGAUAACGUCACCUGUGCAGACAGCAAACAAAUUGUCAUCAGCAUAGACAAGGAUAUCUGAGAAAUUGAGUAGAGAGGUUCGUAUAUGUGUGGAAGGUAUUCUGACUUCAAAGCUCAAUGGUACAAUCGACAUCUUCAACCACGAGAAUGGAUCGGUUGUUCAUGCCGAUAAGAAGCUUCCGGAGGUCCGAGUUGGAUUCGACCCCAGUCAAGUCAAGGUCAUAUAUGUCGAACCUGAGGUGGUUGGCUAUUGCGGCGAUGAGGCUGGACUUGCCGGUACCCGGCGGACCGUACAGCAGAUAUUGCUCCAGAUUCGUAAAGCGGCCUCGGGGGGAAAGCGGUGCAGACUCUGCUUCCUUGGCAUCCAAGUUUGCCUGGAAUCGUUCCACUUUUUUCCUGCUGACUUCCACACAAACUAAUUCAGCAGGUACAGGUUGUUGCUGGUCUGGGAAUGGUUCCUGUUUUGCCAAAGCAUCUUGCAGACAGAGCAUGCAAGCUUUCGUUGCUGGGAACAGUCUUCUCCUUGGGAUUUUCUUUGUAUAGAGUCCUAUGGGAUAAAUACCUGCCAACCUUAACCUUGAGUGGUUCUUCUUUGUUUAGCUGUGUUUCUUGCCCUGAUGAACAUGUUGAUCUAAUUCUCCGUUUUAUCUGCAUGAAGAAACCAAAUGCGUUGAACAUGCCUGCAAUCUGUUUGUUGCAGUCUAUACUUGGAGCCAAGGACUUUUUCCGUUUGAUGUUCUCUGUGUUGCUUCUCACAUCUCAGAUGCAUUUAAAGAUUGCCGCACUACCUGUGUUCUGUUGGGCAGUUGAUCAUGUUGCCAGAUUACCAAGGCGUAAUUUUGCCCACUCAUCUUUCUAUAGGGAAUAUACUUGGAAGAACCCUGUUUUUGAGUGGAUGCAAAUAACACCACACUCAGCCUCCUUAGUUCAAAUGUCGAGCUUGCCUUGCGGUUUCUUCUGAUCAUUUCUUUUUUCUCGUGGCAACACAACAUAGUUCAGACAUUGAUCUACUGGAAUUUGAAGACGAUACUGUGCUCCUGUAACAUCAAGCUAUCACCAGAGCAGAUCGUCAACCCUUAAAUCCACCUCUACGCUCCAUUCCUCGAAACGCCCAUCUCCGCGGUUCCACAGUAGUGGCUCAGGCAGCUAGACAUGAGGACCAAAUCAGGAUCUUGCAGGUGACGUCCGUAAGAGUUGUCGAUGUGUUCCGUUCCGUUCCAGUCGAUGCGGACAGAAGGAGGAAGACCUGUCUAUGUCGUCAGGAGCUCGACAAGAUCAUCGAGCGCAACAUCAGUGUCAUCGUUCCUCAUCAGAACCUCGGCGACCUCUGCAGGUGUCACAGUCACCUCCUUGAUAAGCUCCUCGAUCUCUGGAUACUUGGCAUGGUAUUCGAUGGCGUGGUAAUUAUUGACAAGGAUCCGGAAAGCCUCUGGGGUGCAGUACCCCAUGUGGAUGUGCAUGUCCAUCCUGCCAGGCCGCAAAAGUGCUGGAUCAAGACGCUCCUUGUAAUUGGUCGUGAAGACGACGAUCCUUUCCUCUCCACUUGUCGACCACAAGCCAUCAACAAAAUUGAGCAGCCCGGAUAAUGUUACCUGUGCAGACAGCAACCAAAUUGUUAUCAGCAUAGGCAAGAAAUCUUUGGAAUCAAGGAGUGGGGAGGUUUUACAUAUUUAUAUAAACAUAGAAGGUGUUCUGACUCCAAAGUUACCUUGUCUUCUGUCUUCUUUUUCUCUUUGGAAUUGGACUUGGACUUGGAUUUUUCCUUGUCCUCCUCCUGCUCCUCCCGUUGCAUCAGUUCGAUGGUACAGUCGAUGUCUUCAACCACGAGGAUGGAUCGGUUGGUCAUCCCAACAAGAAGCCUCCUAAGGUCUGAGUUGGACUCAACCCCAGUCAGCUCAAGGUCAUAUAUGUCGAACCUGAGGUGGUUGGCUAUGGCAGCGAUGAGGCUGGACUUGCCGGUACCCGGUGGACCGUACAACAGGUGGUGCUCCACUCAGCUCCAGAUUGCGAUCGGUGAAAGUGGUGCAGGCUUCGCUUCCUUGCAUCCAAGUUUGCUUGGAACUUUACCCUUUUUUUCCAGCAAUCUCGUAGUAUUCUCGAAAAAAAACUACAUAUGGUAGUAUAUCAUUAAUACAGCCUGUAGUUGUCACCUAGUACCAUAAAGUUUUCUU